rnacentral:lncRNA from 13 species
CCUCACUCUAGUUGCCGAGAGAGAGCAGCGUAUUGUUUUCUAGGCCCUCCAUUCCCAACCCUGAAGCCCCCUGUCCCCAGCAGGAAAGACCAGGAAAAAGUGUUGGCUUCAGUGGUUAUAGAGGGUGCAAUAGUUCCAUGUAGUCAUGGCUGUUCCAGGACUGGAGUGGCACGCUGGAACUUCCAGAGGCUUGUAGACCUGAAGCAGUGUGAUGUGGUCCAGAUCUUACACCCUAUUAGCUCAACCACAGUCCUCGCAGCUGCAGUCGUCUGCACCCUGUACCUGCUACACCGACCACGACAGGUGAUACAGAGGGAGAGAAACGCUGGGCCA